UGUCCACUCCUGGAGCGUAAACAGCACAUUAUAAAACUCAGUAUUUAGCAAACCAAAACCACACAGUAGCCAUGGGCACCAAUUCAUUUGUUGAGCUGGGCAAACAAACAGUGAAAGUUGACAGAGAAGAUAGUGAGUGUGAAAAGAAGACCAGAGGGAUCUCUGCUUAUAGCGUAAGGCGCCACUCGAUGGAGUUCAGGCCAUUCUCCAUGGGCAGAGAGAUGUUGCAGCGCCCAAUGGUGGGGGUGAUGGUGCCCGCUAGGACGUGGGGCUCGCUGUGGAAGCUGACGCCCAUCCCGUUGGCGUACAUCACCCGCAGGGUACCGUUGUUGCAGAGCUGGUAGCUGUUCCGCACUUGAUCUGGAGAAAUAGGCUGAUGGUCUACCAUAGGUUAGCUCCACUGCAAAUCAAGUCUAGGAUUCUUUGAGAAAACAAAGAGAAAAAGCAACCUUCCUGCCCCUCAUGCAUUCGCUGCUGACUCCACCGUGAUGCCAUCUCCACUCCAGAGGACUCUGAAGAGACUCAACUAGCACGAGGGAGACCGAGCCAGUGGGUGCUGAUAACGUACGUGUGUGUCUUCCCAAAUGGAAUCUACGCUAGUCAAUCAGACUUCUGACCUUUUCCUUUAUCGAAAAGUUCCAGGUAGGAAAUGUGAGUCGGAGACUCCUUUUAUAGAUACGAUGCUUCCUGAUUAUUUGGGCAGAGGAGUCCAGCUGGCCUGGCCUCUGAGGCGCUGGCUUUUGGGGUAGUGUGCACCGGUCACGACCGCAGCCAUCGUGCAGAAGGACAAAAUCUACAUCAUUAAUCAUCUGGCAGAGCAGAAACAGAGUCAUGGAAACAGGCUCUGUCGUGGGAUAAAUAGUCCAGCAAUGACACCAUUUAUCUACUGAGAGGACACGUUUAUCCUCGGCCAGUGGGCUAGCCCACUGACAUUAUAUCUUCAUUACCUGCGCAAUUCCUUUUCUUGCCAGUCUGUGUGCUCUUGUCCUGGACUGUAUGUCAUGUCGAACAGCAAGAGUAACCACGAGGUGGUCAGAAACCUUUGAGGUCUUGGCAAGGGACUGCUAAAAGGCUCUGUGACUGUAACAAACAACCCACUCAUCACACAAACGCUUGGAAGAAAGGGAGAAUCAGAAUGGGACCAAAAAAAAGGUGGGCUCA